CAUUGUAUCAUAUAAACUAUGACACGAUAGCGACAGUUCGCAUAUCUUAAAUGUUUAAUUAGCAAAGCCAUUGACAUACAAAAAAUGUUAAAAUGUUUCAAAUGAACCGAGGUCACCGUAGCUGUAACAGCAGACCGUGAUUUCCCUUUUUGGUGUCCGAAGACAAUACUAAUACGGGUAUAUUUGACAAUGCUAUGACCAUUGCCUAAGUUCCCGGCGUUUGUUGUUUUUAAAGGUGUCUUUUUUUUUUACUAUUUUUUAAAAUACUUUUUUUAUGUCCUAGGAAAUGCCAUGGUUAUCAAGUAUUGCAGUUUUUUGUGCAGGAUCAGCUUACAAGGCGGUGUAAUUUAUAGAAACAUGUCAGUAGUCGGGGAAACCAACAAACCUGUCAUUUUCCGGGUAUUUUAUGAUGGGAUACCAAUCGCAUAUAUAUUAAAAGUUUCAUAUGUAUGAACAAGGAAGAGAUGGACACACACGCUGAAUUUAAAGCGCCUGUCUCUGUUGUAUUAUUUUUUCCAGCCUCGGUAUCCAGUUGAUCUGCUGUCAUCCCCUACUCCUCCAUCCAAAAGAACGAUUAGUCAAGGUGAUAUGUAUUAUAAAUAAAGUUCGUCCCAACUGAAAAAGAACACGAGCUAAGCAAAAACAAAGAAAAGCAGUGUGUAAAUACACGCAUGCACCUGGGAUGAAAGCAAAAACAGGCUAGCCAAAAAUGUUUCAGUCCAAACGACACAGACGUUUAUUUGUAGUUGAACAUAAAUCAGCAGAGAUGAUGCUUCAAAGCAAAUCUAAGAAAACACGAAACCCCUUUUGAUUUGUUUGAUUUACGUCUGAUAGGCAAAUUCAGCCUAAAUACGGAUAAUGAUUAAAAUUGUCUGACAGUCAUCGCUUCUUUUCGGCGUCGAGCAAAGAAAGUAUGGGAGCCAUGGUUAUAAAAUAUCUCCAAAGUAUUGUGGAAUUUCAGUGAAUUGUCAAUUUCACAAUCAUAUCAAAUCCUGGGAUCGAGAGAAGACAAAAACAUUAGACUUUGUAACAGUUGAAGAAAGAAUACAGAAAUUAUCUUAACCUUAAUCAUCACACAUUUGUAUCGAGACAUGACAACAUAAUCAACUAUUUUGUUUGCGCAUGAACAUGAUACUCACUUUUCAAAGCCGAUUGUAGCAGUUAAGUAAAUUAUACCUUGUCUGCAGGUAAACUUUAUUUAAAAAAAGAUAAUGAUGAAAAUAUAAUUAUAGAAACACAUACAUCACUAUCAUGCAAGUUACUUUGUAAAAAAAGCGCAGAGUCAUGCUUAUUUAUCAUCGUAUGACCUAGAUUUAUACUCAGUAAUAACAGUGUUAUUUAUGAAACUCGGAAAACCUUCAACGCACACAAUUCAUUACAUGCUCGGUUCAUUAGACUGUUAGAAGCAACGGAAACUUCUACAACUUCACUGAAAAUGAGGUCAGGAACGACCACUCUUUGAAAGAUUGACAAGCUACCAUUGUUGGGAAAAUACAAUGAGAAAUAUUUCAAACAUUCUGCUCAUCUUAAAACCAUUUAUUUUCCCUGUAGACAGAAUGGUUUUAAGCACUUCAAACGUAACAGAAGUUUAAUAAAAUGCACGCUAUAUUGUCUGUUUGCUUAGAUCGUCACAGAUGUUAAUGUACGUGCGACUAAAUCAGCAUUUUGUUUUCAAUUUCAGGAGCUCAAAGCAUUAAUGAUGAAUAAAAAUCGACCUUUCUGUUGUUUUAUUUUUAUGUGAAAUAAACAUUUUUAAAAGUGACUGCAAGCACGCUGAAAGACUGCAGACUUUAAUUUGUUGCGUGUAUUUGAGUAAAAUAUGUUAGGAGCAAAUAAUGCAUUGCUGUUCAAAUGUCACCUUGUACUUAACAUUUAAUUAGUCAAUUUACAAAUUGAUCUUUUCUGUAGCUAAUCUAGAACGGUAUACAAAGACACAUCUGUGAUUACUUUUGGAUGCUUUUGUUGACAACCAAUGGCAUAGAAAAAAGGUCUACUUGGAUGAUUAUGAUUAAUGCAUUCUUCAAGAAAAGAAAGCUUCAUUUUUUUACUGAAAGGUUGCAAUUAUAAACGCGAGAAUAAAGUUACAAUGUCAGUUUUGUAUAUAAUUAUAACAACGUUGUGUGAUGAUUUUGUCACCGCUAGCCUUGCGCCAUGUCAAAAUGAGGAGAAUCAAUAAGGAGGAAAAUUGUUUUUGACAGUAAUGGUAAUGUUUGUGUCAGAAUCGUUUAGUUACCGGUCCUCUGCUUGACUCAUAAACAUGGGUAAUAAAGUCGUAUAAUUGUAUACAAUGAAAAUUGUACGACUGCAAUUUUUCACGCGGGCGAGGUCAAGCGUUGUGAUGACACCACGCGCUAUUAGACACGAACUCUGACCUGUUGGACAGAGUACGUUUUAGACGCCCUGAGAUAAAACAAUCCGUGACAAAAUUGAAACAUUCUGGUGAAACAACAACAUCAACAAAAAAAAAAAAAAAAAAAAACCGAGAAAAAAAACCCUUUUUUCUUAAUGCGUGUUUCGAAUGAAGUAAAGAAGAACUAAAGCCAUGAAUAUGGUAUUUAAUUCUUAAUGCAUACAAACGCUGAUUCAAGAUCCCGCAUUUAGUGAUGGAUUCAAACAGCCACUCUCUUUAUUUCAAUGAAGCCUAAAAUAGGCCGCAGUAUAUACAAUAUAAUCAAUUAACCAGAUGAACGCACGUGGAAACAAUGCGCAUUCUCAUGGCACGCGUAAUAAGAUUGGCGGGUCUGGGACGUGCCAAAGUCGGACAACAUAGCAGAAAUUUUAUCACUGUUUUAGUAAACUUGUCUAAGGUUAUAAUCAGUGUCAGUCAAACAUAUUUAAUGUGACACAGAACAGCUUUUUCAUAUCGAAAAAAAAAAAGAUUAACGUUAAAACGUACCUCCUUUAGAAAUUUUAACGAAAACUUGCUGACAGUUUAAAAGUGCAAAAAUCCUGCACGGAAAUGAAGUGUGGCAUUUUUUAACCAUAAAUCUGAAGUAUUUUAAUAUAAUGUCAUUCAAGCACUGUUUCCUGAACCACACACAAAUUCAAAUUCAAACAUUACCGGAAUUGUAUACUUUUUUUUCUUCCUAAAUUAACCACUCAAGAAAUCAUUAAUAAUUCUUUUUUGAAAGGGUUUCACAGGCACUUUCAUAUUUCGCAGAAAGAUCAGAAGUUGUUAAUUAAUUAACGGAAGCAAACCCUUCAGCCCCAUCAUCCUUAGCAAGUGAUCGUCUGCUUUACCUGCAAAUGUCAUUUCCUCUCUUCAGUUUGUUUCUUUGCUUCUUUGUCUUAAAUUUACGUAAAAGUUUAUGAUUUACAUAUGGUGCUCUUCAUGUUCACGCCGGAUAUGAGCAGUUGUUGCAUUUCGGCUGGACGCUGUAACAUCUUGUGUAACAGAUGCUUGUCGAUCACGUACGUACAAAGGUUUGGAUUUGGGGAAUGAAAAAAAAAAAAGAACGAAAAAGGAUACAUGCGGGCGUGUGAAGUCGAUUAGUAUUGAAUUACGCGUUGGUUAGAACAAAGGUUAAUUUAUGAAAUAAUACAAGAAAGAUAGCUUGCUCCCCCAUGUACAUCUGCUGUUUGAGUUAUUAGUUUUCGACAUGGUUUGUAAUAUCAUCUAUAUAUCUAAUACACAUUAGCAAUAUGAUAAAAAUCUUAAUACGUGUACAUUGUUCCUAAAUCAGCGUCAUUUGGUCCAAAGCAUUAUACUUCGUCUGUUGUCGUCUGCUAUCGCUGGAUCUUUAAUUUAGAUUGAUUUUUCAUUGCUAUAUAUUUUAUUAACACUGUAAUGGGAUGCUUGAGGAGUAACGAUCAAAUCAAUCUUGUAGGCAACAUUUGUUUCAUGGUAACCAAGGUAGGUUAGACAAAAAGAUACCACAGAAAAAUCUGCCACGAGUGAUGCGCUAAACUAUACAAAUUUCAACACCUUUUAACGUAUUUUAUCUUCGGAACUAAGAUCUUGUGUUUUUAAACUCUAAUCAGUUUGGUUGCCAUAUGUGCAUGUUUGUAAUUAUUUUAGGCACGUGAGGAUUCCGGGCGCGUGCGGGAGAAACAGACGAUAUAUCUGGUUCCAGUUAACGGUUCCUGGCUUGUUUAUUUUGCAAAUGGAACGCGUUAAAGACCCUUUAUCUUCUCCUGCUCUGUGCUGUGUGCUUGCAUUAGCUAAGAAAACGAGAAACUAAUCAAAAAUCGGCUUUCUAAAUAACUUUACGCGUCCUUCAGAGGAAUGUUAAUGAAUUCCAUCUUCCUGAACGUUGUUUACGAGGCAUCGUGCAAUUCUUUUGAAUCCUUUUAAAAGUAGAAUGCUACUGUAAGAAGAGCUUUAUUAUCAGGGAAUUCUUUGAUGUAAUGCAUGUUUGCAUGCCACCAAAAGAGAAAUUCAUCAAAGCGAUAGGGAUGUCAUGGAUUCUUUUAAUUCCAUUAAUUAUCUUUGAAGUCUGUAAAACAGAAGCGAAAAUAUUAUCUUAGUUCGUUGGCCCUCUUGUCACACCAGAGCCGUGUUUAUCACUUAGUGUGAUACAGGUUUCAAGAAUUCAAGUACAUCACACAGAAAGAGAGAUAAUCGGGUAUACAAUUUCAUUCACUCUGUUGAAUCGGACAAAACAAAACAUGAAGAAGCCUUCCGACGUUGUUAAACUUUGUUUAAACACAUACUCCCACGUGUUCA